rnacentral:misc_RNA from 1 species
GAUGAAGAACGUAGCGAAAUGCGAUAAGUAGUGUGAAUUGCAGAAUUACCUGAAUCAUCGAAUCUUUGAACGCACAUUGCGCCCCCUGGUAUUCCUGGGGGCAUGCCUGUUCGAGCGUCAUUUCAACCAUCAAGCCCCCGGCUUGUGUUGGGGACCUGCGGCUGCCGCAGGCCCUGAAAACCAGUGGCGGGCUCGCUAGUCACUCCGAGCGUAGUAAUACAUCUCGCUCAGGGCGUGCUGCGGGUUCCGGCCGUUAAAAAGCCUUAUUUACCCAAGGUUGACCUCGGAUCAGGUAGGAAGACCCGCUGAACUUAAGCAUAUCAAUAAGCGGAGGA